GAGUGCCAAAGUGAGUUGGGGUGGUGGAUGGGUCAAAAAACCCAGGACUCUCACCCAGGGGACAGCUGUUUGUGUGCCACGUGAAACCAAAAGUCAGCCUUGACUUUCUUUAGGUAAACCAACUGUGUUAUGGAUUUAGCCAAUCCAUGAUCUUUUCCUACGAGCAGUUCCGUUACAAAAUGUUAAACACGUGUUUACAACUACGACCGUUUUUCAACAUUAAAUAGAACGGUUACGUGUUAUGGUCACACGUUAAAAACUACCACCGUUGUCUAGGCUAGUGCUGCAUUCAGUGCCCUGGCAGAAAGACUGGAGUUGGUCCCCAGGCCCCUGUGCCUGCAAACUAAUCCUGUGUUGACAAAUUACAUUUCUCUGUGAAUGACAAGAAAAGCACAUUUAAACUUUAAGCACCUUUAAACUAUGACAUAUGCUGCAUAAACUAAUUAAAAAACUGUGUAGGUAUAACCUAGUAUUAUUAACCUUAUGCACUCACAUUUGAAUAUACUUUGUACUUUUAUGCACUAAAAUGAUAAGGGUCCCAUCCAAACCUUGUCACUACUUCGAGAAAAGUCAUGAAUCAUCCUUUUCCCUCAGCGUUAUCAUUACGUUUGAUAGUUGAUUUUUCUCUAAGGAGUAGAUGGUACAUUGUUUUCUUUUUUUGUGUACAGGCAACCCACAAGUAUGUUUUUUAGUUGUACUUUUGCUCACAAUUGUUUAUUCUUGUAAACACUGUAUUUCCCAUGCACUAUGUGUGUUCUUUGUAUGUAUAUAUAAUCUCAUUGACUUGUAUUUGUUCUUCUCGUUACACAGCACUUUAUGAACCUGGUUUUAAAUGUUUUAAAAUGUGCUGAAUGAAUCAAAAGCUGUUUUUGCACCAAGAGCAUGUUUGAAGAUUGUACAGUUCAAUCUUGUUGCCUGAAAUACCUGACAUUAAUGUUUAAAUUAAUUUAUUCAUUGUUAAACAACAGUGUACAAAUAAUAAAAAUCUUCUUACUUAGUGUUGUUACUGCUUAGAAACAUAUCACAACUAGGAAACAUGGUUAAGAAUGGGGUUUCAAUACAUUUUGAACAUUAUACACAUUACAUUAAUAGAAGUGUUUUUUUCAGAACAGAUUACAAUUUACAAUUUGGUAAACAAGUUUGUUUUCCAAAAAUGACACAUUUGAACAGCUAAACAUGCAAAUCACUGAAUAGUCUCCUGCUGUUUUGUAAAAAUAAAAUACAUGGAG